rnacentral:sRNA from 12 species
CCCGAGCCUGCCGGGGCCGCGCAAGCGGAUAAGGGCGGGACACGGAUUAGUCGGGCAGUGCCGUGAUUCAGAAAAACCCCGACUGCC